GUGAGCAAGAAGGAGUUUGAGAUGCUUUUUGACCUUAUUCUGGCUGCCAACUACUUGGACAUCAAGCCGUUGCUGGACUUGACAUGUGCAACAGUUGGACUCCUCAUGAUGAACAAGACUCCA
rnacentral:ribozyme from 1 species